CAGAUGAGCAGGGUAUAAAUAUACUACUACUACUACUACUACUACUACUACUACUUAUUUAUUUAUUUCUGACCCUAGAGACAGAGCAUAGACAUCGUGGCCAAUAGUAUAUUUGCCUCAUUCAGGAAGUUUACGUGUCUAUAUUAUCUUGUUCAUUUCCUCAGCUAAUGAUUGAACUUGAACAAUAACUAAUGCUCUAUACUAUGUAACUUAAUGAUAACAUAGUAGAAUAAUGGAAUAUUAGUUGCUUAUAAUCACAAGUGAGAAAAGUAUUACUGUACUCAGGUCCAGAUUUUUGACUUCCCAUAGGCAUCUGGUCAGUCACUGUGAGAACAGGAUGCUGAAUUAGAUGGGCUUUUGGCCAGAUCCAGCAGGGCUCCUCUAAAGUUAUUAAAAGUCACUGAGUCCCUAUUUGGAUAUUCCUAUCCAUCAGUAUCACGAUUUAUGUAGACAUUUCCUCAGUCUUCAAGCUGCAGAAGUAAAAUCCAACUUCUCAAAAAUCAGUAAUUUUUAAUAUGUACAAUCUAGUUCCUAGGAUGCAAAGCAUUUAAACAAAAUGACUUCCUCCUCAGUUUGCCCUUCAAGUGUGAAGUAAUUAUAUAUCUCUUCCAAUUACCUAUAUAAACCUCCUUUAGAGACAGUGGAUUUUGUAGAGUGAAAUAUCUUAUUAUUGCUGUGCUUAGGCAAUUUCAUAUUAGCAAAGCGUUUGAAAUGCAAUUCACAUUUGUUCUUUUCUUAUUAGCCCAGAGCUCAUAUAGAGGAGGAACACUAUCAAGAUGCCCAAGUUAGGACCACGGAUGUGAGGCUGCAGAUAUAAUUCCUUCAAACAGAGCAAACUCAGAUGCUGGUUCCUGGCAGAAAUGGAACAAGAGACAGGUUAUGUCAGCUACGAAAAAGCAUCUCCAGCUGUGUUUUCCUUUCUGUCGUAAGUAUAGCUGCCUCCAUCCAAUGCUUCAUUAUACUUGCUAAAACCUUCCGUUGACCCAAACAGUUACAUCGUUUGAGUCAUGCACAAAAAGUGUCUUCAUAUUCAGAAAGGGAAAAAGUCAUUGGAAUGGAGGGCACUCUUCUGCAAACUGUGAUGGUAAGCCUUGAAACAUGGCUGUGUAAGAGAUGUUUUGUAGUGCCUUUUUCUGUGCUGAUGCUGAAGUACACAUAUCUUGUGCCAUCAAACCUGACCAACCUUAAGGACUGCUUUGCAACAGUUGAGAGCUGCUACUAAUCCAGUGCCCUGAGACAGGAAAGGGCUAUAAUAAUCAUAAAGCAUAAAAUGACUACUAGCAAUGGCAAGGCUUUCCUAAACUGCAAAAGGCCUCUGGAAGAGAGUUUUCUAAAAAUGACACCUGAAUGUCAGCAAGGUGAAUUUCCAUAGGAAGGGAGUUCCAUAAUUUUAUUUUUCAUUUAUUGUUGAGGACCACCAGUAAGAGUUGCAUUUAUUGCCCUGCCCACUUUUGCUUCUGGCUCUGCUAGGGAUGGAGGAUAAAUUUGAUUCAGUACACAUUUAAAGCUGAAUCUAUCAGCUUUGCACUUUCCAAAACAACAUGCAAACAAAAACUCUGCUCUCUUUGAAAUUUACACUUCUCUGAAUUUUGCAAUGCAGUUAUCCAACCAAAGUGUCCCCCCAUGAAGAUAUUGAUGAACAUUAACAUACAAAAAUACAUUAUAUUAGGGGAAAUUGCUUUCAAAACUGUGGAUAUUAGUUAAAAUGGCAUAUAAAAUAUGUUUAUUGGGAAAACUUGCACUAAAAUGUUGGUGAAUUUUACAUGAAAUGUUUUGUUCUACUUAAUCUGCCAAUUGCUAAAUAAUGUGGAGAACUCAAUUUAAGACUGAGGAAAUGAGAAAUUGAGAAAACCAAAUGGACAAAUCCUUCCAUUCUACCCACCAUUGACAAGUGGCCUCCAUAAUGUAACACAUAAUGUAAGGCCCAGGGGCCGGAUCCGGCCCCAUCACCUUCUAAAUCCAGCCUGCGGAUGGUCCGGGAAUCAGCGUGUUUUUACAUGAGUAGAAUGUGUCCUUUAUUUAAAAUGCAUCUCUGGGUUAUUUGUGGGGCCUGCCUGGUGUUUUUACAUGAGUAGAAUGUGUGCGUUUAUUUAAAAUGCAUCUCUGGGUUAAUUGUGGGGAAUAGGAAUUCGUUCAUUCCCCCC